rnacentral:rRNA from 1 species
UAAUACGUAGGGACCAAGCGUUGUUCGGAUUUACUGGGCGUAAAGGGCGCGUAGGCGGCAUGGCAAGUCACUUGUGAAAUCUCCGGGCUUAACUCGGAACGGCCAAGUGAUACUGCUGAGCUAGAGUGCAGAAGGGGCAAUCGGAAUUCUUGGUGUAGCGGUGAAAUGCGUAGAUAUCAAGAGGAACACCUGAGGUGAAGACGGGUUGCUGGGCUGACACUGACGCUGAGGCGCGAAAGCUAGGGGAGCAAACGGGAUUAGAUACCCCGGUAGUCCUAGCCCUAAACGAUGAAUACUUGGUGUCUGGAGGUUUAAUACUCCGGGUGCCGUCGCUAACGUUUUUAGUAUUCCGCCUGGGGAGUACGUACGCAAGUAUGAAACUCAAAUGAAUUGACGG